AGACAGCAGUCGCCACGGGAAUACGAGGGGGGCAAGCGUUGUUCGGAAUUAUUGGGCGUAAAGGGCGCGUAGGCGGUUUGGCAAGUUUGGUGUGAAAUCUUCGGGCUCAACUCGAAGUCUGCAUCGAAAACUGCCGGGCUUGAGUAUGGGAGAGGUGAGUGGAAUUUCCGGUGUAGCGGUGAAAUGCGUAGAUAUCGGAAGGAACACCUGUGGCGAAAGCGGCUCACUGGACCAUAACUGACGCUGAGGCGCGAAAGCUAGGGGAGCAAACAGGAUUAGAUACCCCUGUAGUCCCUGUCUCUUAUAA
rnacentral:rRNA from 1 species